rnacentral:misc_RNA from 1 species
ACGCGGUGCAGGUCUGGAAAAACGCACCGGGCACCACCCAUGCGCGCCGCACCAUCGUUCUGGUCGGCCUCGUUUUCAUUCAGGCGAUGAUCGGCAUUGCGACGCUUUUGAUGAGUGCGCCGCUGCAUCUGGGCCUGACGCACCAGUUUUUUGCUCUGGUGGUUCUGGCUUUCGCGGUGGCGCACUGGCGCGCAACCAAGGGCGCUUAUGCCGCAUAGAGCGCAUCCCGAAAAGUGUGAAACGGUUUUCGGAAAAGAUGCGCGUCAAAACAAAGGAUUAGAGCGCCGAUCUGAUUCAAU